rnacentral:tRNA from 3 species
GAUUCCGUAGCUCAGCUGGGAGAGCGCUACCUUGACAGGGUAGAGGUCGCUGGUUCGAUCCCAGUCGGAAUCA